GAGCCGUGAGGAAUCGUGCUCUUCCAUGCUGGAUGAGGUUCAUCAGCUUCAUCUGAAUUUGCAGAUGACAUCCUGCGCAACUGAGCUC